rnacentral:rRNA from 1 species
UGGCGGACGGGUGAGUAAUGUCUGGGAAACUGCCUGAUGGAGGGGGAUAACUACUGGAACGGUAGCUAAUACCGCAUAACGUCGCAAGACCAAAGAGGGGGACCUUCGGGCCUCUUGCCAUCGGAUGUGCCCAGAUGGGAUUAGCUAGUAGGUGGGGUAACGGCUCACCUAGGCGACGAUCCCUAGCUGGUCUGAGAGGAUGACCAGCCACACUGGAACUGAGACACGGUCCAG